rnacentral:misc_RNA from 1 species
GAUGAAGAACGUAGCGAAAUGCGAUACUUGGUGUGAAUUGCAGAAUCCCGUGAACCAUCGAGUCUUUGAACGCAAGUUGCGCCGGAAGCCAUUAGGCCGAGGGCACGCCUGCCUGGGCGUCACACGUCGUUGCCCCCCCAUCUACUCCUUCGGGAUUGCGGGGGGCGGAUGAUGGCCUCUCGUGCGCCUCGUCGCGCGGUUGGCCUAAAUGCCAAGUCCUCGGCGACGCACGCCACGACAAUCGGUGGUUGCGAAACCUCGGUUGCCUGUCGUGUGCGGUCGUCGUGCAUCGAGGGCUCGAAAAAAUUGCCGGGCUUCGGCUCGACUUUCAACGCGACCCCAGGUCAGGCGGGGUUACCCGCUGAAUUUAAGCAUAUCAAUAAGCGGAGGA